rnacentral:rRNA from 1 species
UUAAUGGAGAGUUUGAUCCUGGCUCAGGACGAACGCUGGCGGCGUGCCUAAUACAUGCAAGUCGAGCGGGGUCAGUUAGAAGCUUGCUUCUA